rnacentral:snoRNA from 1 species
UUGCAUCUAGUUAAAUUAGUUCAAAACCAUUUAAUCUCACUUGACUUAUCAUCUCUCUGAUGGGGGCUCAGCAUGCAACAACUGCAAAAAGCAGAUUCCCUAGCUGUGUAUAGAGCUCAUUGUGUUGUUCUAAGGGACCUUGAAUACAUUA